rnacentral:pre_miRNA from 1 species
GGGGGGAGGCUGGAUCUUGGGCUCUGUCCGGGCGCCCAGUGCUCCCAGGCCUGCGCUGUUGGAUUCGCGCUCCCGGCCACGCAGCCGACU